GAUGAACGCUGGCGGCGUGCCUAAUACAUGCAAGUCGAGCGAACAGAUGAGGAGCUUGCUCCUCUGACGUUAGCGGCGGACGGGUGAGUAACACGUGGAUAACCUACCUAUAAGACUGGGAUAACUUCGGGAAACCGGAGCUAAUACCGGAUAAUAUAUUGAACCGCAUGGUUCAAUAGUGAAAGACGGUUUUGCUGUCACUUAUAGAUGGAUCCGCGCCGCAUUAGCUAGUUGGUAAGGUAACGGCUUACCAAGGCAACGAUGCGUAGCCGACCUGAGAGGGUGAUCGGCCACACUGGAACUGAGACACGGUCCAGACUCCUACGGGAGGCAGCAGUAGGGAAUCUUCCGCAAUGGGCGAAAGCCUGACGGAGCAACGCCGCGUGAGUGAUGAAGGUCUUCGGAUCGUAAAACUCUGUUAUUAGGGAAGAACAAAUGUGUAAGUAACUAUGCACGUCUUGACGGUACCUAAUCAGAAAGCCACGGCUAUCUACGUG
rnacentral:rRNA from 1 species